CGCCUGGAACUGGAGGACCCCGGAAGCUGUAGUGCCCGGGGCGGCGCUGCAGGGGGCGCGGUCACCCGUGCUUUUUCGCGUUGGACGACGGGCUCUGAGGGCCACGUUUUUGUUACGAAUUUAGUUCUUAAUUAACCUUGUUUAGAGAACAAGGACCCGCGAUGCGUUCGCGUUACAGUCCUGUUUCCCUGGAAAAGGAGCCGCCGACGCGGAGGUGGCUUUGAGAUUCUGCGAAAGACUUGACCGCUCUCGGUUGUGUUGCACCCUCCCCGGCGCCCAGUCCAAACCCGGUCGGAAUAACCACCAGGGACAGCGGUGGUCAAAGAACUUUUAACAUUCCUUGCAAGGCAAAUCUACUGGUGACAAAUUGCCUCAAAUUUUGUUUGCCUGGGAAAGUUUUUCUCCCUCACUAUUGAAGGGUAAUUUAAUUGGAUACAGAAUUCUAGAGAUGGAGUCUCACUAUAUUGUCUGGCUGGUCUUGAAUUCCUGGGCUCAAGCAAUCUGCCUACUUUGACCUCCCGAAUCAUUGGGAUUACAGGCGUGAGCCACUACACCUGGCUACUAUAUCCUUUAUAAGGUUUCUGUGAAGAUUAAAUGGGAUUUUGAGAGCUUUUUAUAUAGUAAACACUCAAUAGCACUUACUACAGUACAAAUGAAACUUUUUUCCAAUGAUGGAUGUGUUUUAUAUUUGCGUUGCUCAGUACAAUUACCAAUAAGCCACAUGUGACUAUUGAUCACUUGAAAUGUAACUAGUGCAACUGAGGAACUGAAUUUUUAAUUUUAUUUCAUUUUAAAUGCAAAUCCACAUGUGGCUGCCGAGUAGCUAGUGUAACAGAGGGACACAGCACUUGAAAAUCAGUUGAAGGAGAAAUAGGAAUGUAUCCCAUCUCUGUUAUUGUGCCUUAUGAUAUUUUACUUUCCAAAAAUGCAUGCUUUCUACUUUCACCUAUCUUCAUCUUUCAUCUCUUUUUAUUUUCACAUCCAGAAUUUUAAGAAUCAGUUCAACAGCCAUCUUCUCCAGAAGUAUUCCUCAGUUGAUCCCAAUCAAUGUGUUUUCCAUAUCCCUGAAAAUUGUAUUGAACAUGGGUCAACUUUGCACUGCCUGACAAUAUUCUUCUAACUUACCUUGUGUGAUUGGUGAAACUUCCCAAGAGCACAGUAUCAGGAUCUGUGUGGCUUUUCAUUAUGUGUCCUCCCUUCCAAAAGCAAUUAGCCCAUUACUUAGAAUACUGUAAACACUGGUUUGUAUCUCACCAACAUUCAUAUGUUGAAAUCCAAUUCCCAAUAAGAUAAUAUUUGAAAGUGGGAUUUUAAGGAGGUAAUUAGGUCACGAGAGUGUAGUCCUCAGGAAUAAAAUUAGUGCCCUUAUAAGAAGAGGCCAAAAACCUCUCUUGCUCUCUUUACAUCAUGUUAGGACACAAUGAGAAGUCAGCAGUUUGCAACCAAAAGAGAGUCCUCUCUAGAAACUGACCAGGCUGACAUGCCAAUCUAUGACUUCCAGCCUCCAAAACUGUGAGAAAUAAAUUGCUGUUAUUUAUAAGACACCCAGUCUAUAGUACUUGGUUAUAGCAGCCUAAACUGACUGAAAAACAUUGAAUAAUCCUAUGUUUGAUUGAUUACCUGUCCUUUACUUCUCUAAUCCAUUCCUCUUGCCUUCCAAUUCCCACUACCAUUCUCUAGAAGUUGGCUGAAAGAAACCAAGAGUACCUGAUCAGUUAUCUAAUAACAUUUAUUAUCUUUUUAUUUUGUACAUUGUGUUACUUAAUCUCCCACUUCUGCAUGAUGAAUAAAAUCAUUUUUUCAGAGGCAUUUACACUUUUCACACUUAUUUAGUAAAUAUUGGGUACCUAUCAUGUCCAAAAUACUAGCAGUAGGGGCAAGGGUUGAUGAUGGGGAGAGGCAUGAAAAUGACAUAAUCACUGCCCUCAGUGACUUAUAUUCAGGUGAGGAGAAAAUGAUUUAUAAAAGUAAUUAGCCAGGCACAGUGGCUCACCCCUAUAAUCCCAGAACUUUGAGAGGCUGAGGCAGGUGGAUCACCUGAGGUCAGGAGUUUGAGACCAGCCUGGCCAACCUGGUGAAACCCCGUCUCUACUAAAAAUACAAAAAUUACCUGGGUAUGGUGGUGGGUGCCUGUAAUCCCAGCUACUCAGGAGGCUGAGGCAGGAGAAUCAUUUAAACCUGAGAGGCGGAGGUUGCAAUAAGUCAGGAUCGUGCCAUUGCACUCCAGCCUGGGCAACAGAGCAAGACUCUAUCUCCAAAAAAAAAAAAAAAAAGUAAUUAAUAGAAGAGAAUACAUAGGAAUAAGGGGAAUUCUACAUGGAGGCCAAGUAUAGAGUGAUGGUAUUUUGCUUCGUAGCAUUGGAAAUUAUAUUUUAGUGCCUAGUUGAGGGUAGUUAGCCCAACAUAUUUGAUGUUGGGAAUGCCUCUGAUUGUAAUUGAGAACUAUUCUCUCAGACUAAAUUGUUGCAAAUUGGAGUUUGAAUCUUUAGGGAAAAAAAAGAGAGAGAGAAACUAUGUAUAGACCAUCUAGAAAAAAGUCAUUUUGGAAAUCAGCUUAUGAAAAAGGUAAUAUGGGAAAGUAAAACAUAAACAGAAAUGAUAAUAAAAUUGAUGGGUUAGGUGAAAAGAAUUGAAGGCAAAAAAAAUUGUGCAAAUUCAGGAAAUUGUGUGUACAAGUCCAUGUGUUUAAAAAAAAAAAACACCUUCAGCUACGCAUGGUGGCCUCUGUCUGUGGUCCUAGCUAUUCUGGAGGCUGAGAUGAGAGGAUCUCCUGCAGGAGGUCAAGUCUGCAGUGAACUGUUAUCAUGCCACUGCACUCCAGCAUGGUUGACACAGUUAGAUCCUGUCUCAAAAAAAAACAUACCCAAACCAAAAACUUCAGUGAAGGCUCUCUUAAAAGCCCAUAACUCCUUAGCCAGGCACAGUGGUACAUUCUUGUAGUCCCUGCUACAGGGGAGGAUCACUUGAACCCAAGAGUUCAAAUCCAGCCUCGGCUACAUUAUAGUAAGACCGCCAUCUGUUAAAAAAAAAAAAAAAAAAAAAUGCCCAGGCCGGGCGCGGUGGUUCACGCCUAUAAUCCCAGCACUUUGGGAGGCCGAGGCGGAUGGAUCACGAGGUCAAGAGAUUGAGACCAUCUUGGUCAACAUUGUGAAACCCCGUCUCUACUAAAAAUACAAAAAUUAGCUGGGCAUGGUGACGUGUGCCUGUAGUUCCAGCUACUCGGGAGGCUGAGGCAGGAGAAUUGCUUGAACCCAGGAGGCGGAGGUUGCAGUGAGCCGAGAUCGUGCCAUUGCACUCCAGCCUGGGUAACAAGAUCGAAACUCCGUCUCAAAAAAAAAACAAAAACAAAAAACCAAUGCCCACAGCUCCAAAGGUCUGCCUUCACAGGACUCCUAGCAGAUCUGGUUCAUUCUAUUCAGUAACUAUUUUUACUGGCAAUGCAGUCAAGAGUACUGUAACUUGUAUGGAUGGAUUAGUUUAAUUUUUUACUUCAUAAUUUAUUUAAAACUCUUUGUUCAUUUUCCUUUGUCAUCAUUACCGCACUAUGCACAGUAGGUGGCGACAUUGCUUCACUCCCAGAAUUGACUGCGUGGCCUAGAAGCACAAAACAGAGGCAAACAUUGAAACAAAUUUCAAGCUCCUAAUUUGGCCAAAAAUAAAAGCAUUGUCCUUUCUAUUUACCUUUUAAAAGGUCAUAUCAAUAAUACAGCAUUAUAAUAUGCCAAUUGUAUGCAAAAUUGUUAUAUAUUCUACAUUCGGUGUUUAACAGAAAUUCAUAUGUUGAAUAAUUCAUUUUGCCAGUGACUGUCAAUAAACCAGGAUGUGCUAUCUUAAAAAUUAAUAUUCACUUAGUUUUUAUUAUCAUAAUAUAAUAAAUUGUUUCCUUUAUAGUUUUAAUGUAAAGGUAGGUAUUUAUUUCUGCUUAAUUUCAUGUGUGCUGGCCAUUGAGCAAAUGUUUAUUAUGUCUGCUAUGGUAAGAACUUCAUUAAUUUCUGCACAUGUACAGAGAAAAGCAGUCAUCUGGGUGGUGCACUAAAGACAGGUAUAAUCCAAAUUGCACAACAUAAGUUGAAAUUUAAAACAUCACUUCAAGGCAGUAUAGCCACAUGCAUGCUAUAGAGUAGUGAUUUUUAGUUAUCCUAACAUUUACCUCUUUUUUUUUUUUUUUAGACAGAGUCUUGCUCUGUCGCCCAGGCUGGAGUGCAGUCAUAUGAUCUUGGCUCACUGCAAUCUCCAUCUCCUGAGUUCAAGUGAUUCUCCUGCCUCAGCCUCCGGAGUAGCUGGAGUUAUAGGCAUGUACCACCACGCCUGGCUAAUUUUUGUAUUUUUAGUAGAGACAGGGUUUCACCAUGUCAGCCAGACUGGUCUUGAACUCCUGACCUCAGUUAAUCUGCCUGUCUCAGCCUCCCAAAGUGCUGGGAUUACAGGCAUGAGCCAUCGUGCCCAGCCGGAUUUACCUCUUUAGCUUUAAAGAGUGUAGCCCAAGUUUAGUAUUCAGAAUUUAUUUAAAUAUUUGUACUCAGCUAUAUCCUUCUAAGAUCCUAUUUUUUUCAGUCUUUCUCUUUCUAAAAUAAAGAAGACUCAUUCAAAAAGGUAACUUUCUUUGGCUGGGCAUGAUGGCUCAUGCCUGUAAUUUAAACACUUUGAGAGUCCGAAGUGGGAGUCUAGGAGUUGAGACCUUGAGUUCUCAAACUUGACCAGCAGGUCUUGAACUUGAGGUCUCAAACUUGACCAGUAGGUUGCUUGAAGCCAGGAGUUUGAGCCAGCCUGGGCAAGAUAGUGAGACCUCAUUUCUACAAAAAAAAAUGUUUUUUGGUUUUUUUUUUGAGACGGAGUUUCGCUCUUGUUACCCAGGCUGGAGUGCAAUGGCGCAGUCUCGGCUCACCGCAACCUCCACCUCCUGGGUUCAGGCAAUUCUCCUGCCUCAGCCUCCUGAGUAGCUGGGAUUACAGGCACGCGCCACCAUGCCCAGCUAAUUUUUUGUAUUUUUAGUAGAGACGGGGUUUCACCAUGUUGACCAGGAUGGUCUCGAUCUCUUGACCUUGUGAUCCACCCGCCUCGGCCUCCUAAAGUGCUGGGAUUACAGGCUUGAGCCACCACUCCCAGCCUAAAAAAAAAAAAAAAAAAUGUUUUAAAAAAAUUAGCCGGGCUUGGUGGUUUCUGCCUGCAGUCCCAGCGACUUGAGAGGCUGAGGUGAGAGGAUUGCUUGAGCCCAGGAGUUCAAGGCUGCAGGGAGCUACGCUCACUCCACUGCACUCCAGCCUGAGUGACAGAGCAAGACACUGUCUAGAAGAAUAACAGAAAAGAUAACUAUCCUUUGUCGAGUAUGGGUUUCAUUUUUGAUUCUUUUCCAUAAUUACUGUAGUCUUACUUGUGAAACAUUACAAGCAGAGACAUAACAUAGUUGUAUACCAAGUAGGUUUGUAUUUCUAUUUUUGGUUUCCCUUAAUUUUCUGAAGAUACUGCAUGUGAACAAAUAACGUCAGGAAACCAACUUCAAAAUUUUAAGAUUCCUUUUUUUGAUAAUUAAUACAUACCUCUAACCCAGAAUAGUGUAUAUUACAGCUUAAGUUGCUUUUUCCCAAAUAUAUUUUGUUCUUACUUUAGUUGAAGUUUAUCUUUCCUUUCUAGUUAAGGGAGAUUGUCAAUUCUAGAAAUAUUUCAAAGAUUUAUAGACAGAACAAGAAACCAUACUUGUUGAAAGAAUUCACCAUAUUUCCUGCAAGUAUAUUUAGAUUUUUAACAAAAUAUUUUCUGAGUCUUAACUUCAGUAUGGAAGCAAAAUGUCUUAAAAGGCUUUAAGUUUUCUUUGUCUCCACAAAAGUCACGUAUAAUCUCAAAUGAUAAUUCUCUAAUGUACCAAAUACAAUGACUUUGUUUUCUUUGUAUUACAAGUACCUGGUUCAGUGGAUGUGCAGCUGUUGGUUGAACAAAUGUAGGCGAACAGUCUUGGUGUCCUGAACUGAUUCAGUUCCAUCUGUAAGCAGGGCCAUAUUGGAAGCCCCCAUGCCUACUACCAAGCCCAAGAGAAAUCUUUCUAGGCAUCGCCCUUCUUUCUCUUAUGAACCCUGCUUGUUCUAUUCCAUAUCUCCGAUUCCCAGCUUGUGCCUCAUUCCCAUCCUCCUCUGUUCUAUGCACCUUCUGAUUGGCACUUCUGUUAGCAACGAAUACAGCAGUUAUUCACACCAGUUCAGCCCUCCUGCUUUGUUCCAACUUUGCUGUCAAUUCUAUGUUUCAGAUCUUCCUGGGCAUCAAAUUCUGUUACUCCCACAUGUUAACAACCCUGCUUAUCAAGCCCUCACUUAAUCAGGGCAAGUGUAUGAAUGAGAAGAUGAACAAGGGCAUUUUAAACAAGAAAGAUUAUUAGCAACUUCAGUAGUGGAAGUAGAAGAUUAGAAAUAGAAAGGAGAAACUGUAAUGAUGACGUGUGUAAUUUUUUAAAUGAGUAAUGGAAGAGGAAAUUGUAAUUAUCAUAGGGUCAGUAGAAUUCAGGAGGGCAGGUUAAACCUCCUAGAGGUAUCAGUGCAAUCCCUGUAGGAAAAGGUGACAGGCAAAUAUUGAAAGGAGGUUUCUUGGAGGGAGGGUCAUUCUACUAUUUCUGUUUAUUACUGUAUUAGGUUAAACUGCAUAAUUCAAUGCAUUGGAUGAUAAAUUUAAACAAGAUUGGAUUCUAAAGUGAAAGUGCCAUAAAUAGCAAGUGACAUUGUUGAACUACAUGGCAAGCAUAGGCAGCAAUGAAUCGCCCUCCAUUCUUUAAGGUAUGUAAAAUUUUAUUCUAUUUUUCUGAGACGGAGUUUUGCUCUUGUCGCUCAGGCUGGAGUACAAUGGCAUGAUCUUGGCUCACUGCAACCUCUGCCUCCUGGGUUCAAGCGAUUCUCCUGCCUCAGCCUCCUGAGUAGCUGGGAUUACAGGUGCCCACCACCAUGCCUGGCUAAUUUUUUUUUUCUUUUUUUUGAGACAAAACUUUUGCUCUUGUUGCCCAGGCUGGAGUGCAAUGGCGUGAUCUUGGCUCAUUGCAACUUCCGCUUCCCAGGUUCACAUGCUUCUCCUGACUCAACCUCCUGAGUAGCUGGGAUUACAGGCAUGUGCCACCAUGCCCAACUAAUUUUUUUUUUUUUUUUUUUUUUUUGUAUUUUUAGUAGAGACGGGGUUUCUCCAUGUUGGUCAGGUUCAUCUCGAACUCUCAACCUCAGGUAAUCCACCUGCCUCGGCCUCCAAAAGUGUUGGGAUUACAGGCAUGAGCCACCAUGCCUGGCCUGUAUUAUGAGUAGAGAUGGGGUUUCACCAUGUUGGCCAGGCUGGUCUUGAACUCCUGACUUCAGGUGAUCCGCCUGCCUCAACCUGUCAAAGUGCUGGGAUUAAAGUUGUGAGCCACCACGCCUUGCCAUAAAAAUUUUUAAAUAGAGAAACCAUUUAGAAUAAAAGCAUAUUCUACAAGUGGAAAUAUUUUUUAUGGUUCUAGUUAUGUGGUACCUAACAAGACUAGAAUGACUCUCAAAAUAUCCAGUCAGGUAUCAUCAAAGUACAAAAUAAUUUUGGGGCCUGCUGUCUGAAAACAAGUCAAGUGAUGGAGGCUCUCACUUAAGAAAGAUAGAUGCUAAGAAGGAGUACAAUCAGAGCUUAUAAACUUUAGCUCACAUGUAUAUGGCAAUUAUUUUUCAAGACACUGUCAUAUUAUUUCAAUUGUUUGUCACAAAAAUCUAGUAAAAUUUAAGCAUUAUAAUUUUUUGUUGGUUUGUUUUUUGAGACAGAGUCUCACUCUGUUUUCCAGGUUGGAGUUCAGUGGAGCAAUUUCAGUUCACUGCAACCUCCACUUCCUGGGUUCAAGCAAUUCUGCUGCCUCAACCUCCCGAGUAGCUGGGAUUACAGGUGCCUGCCACAACACUGGGCUAAUUUUUAUAUUUUUAGUAGAGACUCAGUUUCACCAUAUUCAAGACCAGCCUCAAACUCCUGACUUCAGGUGAUUCCCCUCACCUCAGCCUCCCAAAGUGCUGGGAUUGCAGUGCAGGCAUGAGCCACCGUGCUCAGCCAAGCAUUAUAAUCUUGAUUUUAAAUAUAAGCACCAUAAACUAUGAGUGAAAUCAAUAAAGUGGUAAUACGCCUUUUAAUUAAAUCUUAAUGUGUUACAAAUGGGGAAAAUUAGUUUGUAGGAGGUACAUUUAAGACAGUGAGCAUAACUUGGCAAUUAAUAUAAAUGUUAUGUAGUGAAUAAGAAAUUUGAGACACUUGGUUUUGUUUUGUUUUGUUUUGUUUGCUCUGUUUACAACCUGGGCCAGUUCGCCCCUCCUUAGGCAACCUGGUCGUUCCCCGCUCCAGGGAGGUCACCACAUUGAUGCAGAACUUAGUGCGGGCACCCAAUUGGUAUAUCGUACUACAGCCCAGAACUCCUGGACUUAAGCGAUCCUCCAACCUCAGCCUCCCGAGUAGCUGGGAAUAUAGGCACAUGCCACCAUGCCCGGUGAGAUACUUGUUUUUAACCUAAGAUGGUAGAAUCCUCAAAGUUGAGCAUUUUCUUUUCUCUUCUUCUCUUUUUUUUUUUUUUUUUGAAACACGAGUCUCACUCUGUCACCCAGGCUGGAGUGCAAUGGCAGGAUCCUGGCUCACUGCAACCUCCGCCCCCUAGGUUCAAGUGAUUCUCCUGCCUCAGCCUCCUGAGUAGCUAGGAUUAAAGGUGGGUGCCACCAUGCCCAGCUAAUUUUUAGUAGACAUGGAGUUUUACCAUGUUGGCCAGGCUGGUCUCUUAACUUCUGACCUCAAAUGAUGAUCCACCCAGCUUGGUCUCCCAAAGUGCAGGCCUGAGCCACCAUGCCUAGCUGUGAGUUGAACAUUUUCAAAGAAUACACACACACACACACACACACACACACACACACAGAGAGAGAGAGAGAGAGAGAGAGAGAGAGAGAGAGAGAAGAAAGGGUCUUGCUCCAUUCCCCAGGCUGGAGUAUGGUGGCAUGAUCACUGUUCACUGCAGACUCAAGUGAUCCUCCCACUUCACCCUCUUAAGUGGCUGGGACUACAGGUCAGUGCCACCACACCCAGCCAAUUUUUUAAAUUUUUUCAUAGAGAUAAUGUCUCACUUUGUUGUCCAGGCUCAUCUGAAACUCCUGGGUUCAAGCAAUCCUCCUGCCUUGGCCGCCGAAAGUGUUGGGAUUACAGGUGUGAGCCACUGUAUCCAGCCAAUUUCAAAGAAUAUUAAGAUCAAAGUAUAGAUGAUAUGUACAUGAUGAGUUGUCAGGAGAAAAUAGAUGGCAGUGUUUUUCCAACAAAGCAUCCCCAUGGUUUAUGGUAGAGCCAAACCUUAGAUGCUGAAAGCAGAUGUCAUGUGAAAUUAAGAACAUUGCUGUAUUCAUCUAAAUAUCCUGUAUGAGAGUCUUAAUACACUACAGAAUUACUACAUUAGGACUAACCUUCAUUCAUAAGAUUCUAUAUUCCACUUACUUAAAAUGAGAACAGCCAUUGCUUUGCAAAUUCAUUAGCAGCCUAGUAGAAUCCAAGCCUAUCCCUGGUUAGAGAAAUGGUAAAAUGAAACUCUAAGUUUAACAAACGAAUGACUUUACCACACACUCAACACAUGUAUUCCCUGUUCUGGCUUCAGUUAGAAAAUGAAACAUUCAUGAUUUUUGUAUUCACACAGGGAUCUGGAGACUUAAAAAAAGAAAAAUGGGCCAAGCACGAUGGCUUAUGUCUGUAAUCCCAGCACUCUGGGAGGCUAAGAUGGGAGGAUCACUUGAGGCCAGGAGUUCCAGACCACCCUGGCCAACAUGGUGAAAACUCAUCUCUACUAAAAACAUAAAAAUUAGCUGGAUGUGGUGGUGAGUGCCUGUAGUCCCACCUACUGGGGUGGCUGAGGCAUAAGAAUUGCUUGAACCCAGGAGUUUUGAGCUGAGAUCAUGCCACUGUAGCCCAGCUUGGGGGUCAGAGCAAGACUCUGUCUCAAAAACAAAACAGAACAAAACAAACAAGACGAAUGAAAAAUAUGUCUCUGUUUUAGCUAGUCCCCAAAUGCCUUUUUUAAAAAAGCCUGUUGACUACAUCUAAUCUAACUAUAGUACAAAUCAGGCUGUGAUACUGGACCAGAGUUAAGAAAAGGAUAGUUUUAACGUACUCCAACAUAAUCUGUAGUUGGCGCUUUUUAGUUAUGAUGACAUGAGGUGUUAAUAUGUUUCAUAAUAAUCUUUCAAAUACCACUCAUUUAACCAAAUCAAACAACGUUGAGAUGGCUUUCAGCUUUUUUAUGCAAAGACUUGCAUGACAUGCAAGACAAUGAAAACGAAGUGUUUAGAUAUUUUGUACAAAUUAUCUUAAUAUUCUUAAGAUAUGCAAGGAGAGGGGAACACGGAAGAGGCUCAGAGCAUUUAAUUUUUUUUCUUUUUCUUUUGAGACAGGCUCUAACUCUAUCACCAGGACUGGAGGGUCAUGGUAUGAUCUCACAGCUCGCUGCAGCCUCAACCUCCCAGGCUCAAGCAGUCCUCCCACCUUAGCUUCCUGAGUAUCUAUCUGGAACUACAGGCAUGUGCAACCAUGCCUGGUAAAUCAGUUUUUAAACUUUUUUUUUUUUGUAGAGAUAGAUUCUCACUAUGUUGCUCUGGCUAGUCUUGGAACUCCUAGGCUCGAGUGCUCCUCCUGCCUUGGCCUCUCAAAGUCCUGGGAUUAUAGGUGUGUGCCUGGCCUGAUUUUUUUAGCAACACAAUCAAGCAUAAAUGAUUUCAAAUCACUAAAACAAUAUGACUCAAAAGACUUUGAAGCUAUAAUUUUACAUGUAUACAAAGUCUACAGUGUAUACAAAGUCUACAAUAUUCAGAGCCUUGUGUCUGUUUCACCCUUCCCACAAUUCAAAGGAUAAGUUGAGGAAAGAUCUCAGGAGUUGGGCAGAAGCCAGUAGCAAAUGUGAUCUGAGGAACAAGUCCAGACUCUUGCUGAGAAGUAGAGGCAAGGGCAGCACUAAAGAAGCAAAAGUAUGGCCGGGUGCGGUGGCCCAAGCCUGUAAUCCCAGCACUUUGGGAGACCGAGGCGGGUGGAUCACAAGGUCAAGAAAUCGAGACCAUCUUGGUCAACAUGGUGAGACCCCGUCUCUACUAAAAAUACAAAAAAUUAGCUGGGCAUGGUGGCGCGUGCCUGUAAUCCCAGCUACUCAGGAGGCUGAGGCAGGAGAAUUGCCUGAACCCAGGAGGCGGAGGUUGCGGUGAGCCGAGAUUGUGCCAUUGCACUCCAGCCUGGGUCACGAGAGCGAAACUCCGUCUUAAAAAAAAAAAAAAAAAAAAAAAAAAGAAGAAGAAGAAGCAAAAGUAGGCAUCUGUCUAGUCUAGAGGGAGAGACUACAGAAAGUAGACUGGUCAACAAGUCAAGAGCAAGGAGAUAAGGAGCAGGCUGGCAAGCUAAUAUGAGACAAGAUAGAGCAAGAAAGCUAGAGUCUCCUUCCAGAGGGAUGCUGCAGGUUUAUACACAUAGAGAGCAAAGACAGACACUCUGGAAGAUAAGAAUAGCAUCAAACAGUAUAAAAUGAGGUUGCUGAUCUCAAGAAAUGGACACUAUAGUUGGAGAGACAGCAUUUCUACCAAUGGAAAGUGAAAUAACAGAACAAUAAUUCAAGUGGUAUUGUAAAACCUUUUAUGAUUGGUUAAAUUUCAAACUAUUAGUCAGGGAAGGCUUCAAAGUAGAGAGGAGCUUUGAGCUCAGUCUUUGAUGAAUGAGAAGAGUUCAAAGAGGUAAAACAAAUAUGAGGAUUAACAGAGUUAAUAAAAUGAAGGGGUUAGAAAUAUAUCUGGUAUAUUAUGCGAAAGUAAUUAAACCAACCUGAGGAGUGUAUUAAUCAUGUCUUUUAUUUUCUGUAUUUUAUGAGGCUUUGACAUAUUGGGGUUUUGUGGAUUCAGGAAGGGACUGCCCUUCAGGGAUAGCUAAUUCCUACGGACAGCAAACAGCUUGGCUUUGAGAAUGCCUUUGAUAUGCAAACCAACCAAUCUCAGGUUCACACCCCCAGCUCCUCCUUCCAUCAGACUCCUGCAGUGUCCCCUGCCUUCAGUCACCCUAGGGCCAGGUAUUGAAUUAGAGACUAGCCCUGUAGCCCAGAGCCUGCCAGAAUUAUUCAAGCUAUCCAAUCCUAAACCUGCACAGCUCCUUAUCCUGCCUUGCGCAUUCCUUCCCCUGAAAUCCACAAUAAAGCCUUUUGCCCAUGCCUCCUCCUUGCAUCUUCUGCUGCCCAGCUGUCCCUGGUGGUUUCCCCAUGUGACUCUGCAUGGAGUGGAGUGGUCCCCCUUUCUUGGGAGCUCUGAAUAACAAAUUAUCUUUUCAAUGGCAAUUGUCUUCUGAUCGACCUGUUGACCUCACCAUACCUGAAUAAAAACAAAGUCCCAGGUACAUUUUAGAACAAGAAGUACAGAGAGUUCAUAUGGAGCAAUGGUUCUUGAAAUGCAGUCUGAGGAAUCCUGGGAUGCCUGAGACCCAUCAGGGAAUCUAUAUGAUCAAAAUCAUGCACAAGUAUACUUGCAGAAUGCAAAAUAGCCAAGUGGAUUUUAAUGUAACAGAACAUGGAAAGACCAUCGAUACAGUUACAGAUUCCUCAUUACAACUAACCUUUGAGAAACUACCAUUUCUUGAAUAUUAGUGUUGAAUCAUAGAAAAAUAUCUAUAGCUAACCAUAAAGAUUUAAAUUACUUCUCCCCCUCUUAAAACUACAUAUCUGUGAGAGGCCAGAUUUUCUUCAUAUACUUGAACCAAAACAACAUAUUUGCAACAUAUUGAGUGUAGAAGCAGAUAUGAGAAUGCAGUUGUCUUUUAUUACACCAGAUGUUAAAGAGAUUUGCAAAUGUGAAAGUGAUGCUCUUUUCAUGAAAUUUGUUCAAUUUAGAAACAUUUAUUUUUUAAUAAACCUAUGGUGUUCAUG